rnacentral:misc_RNA from 1 species
UGCUCCUGUUGUUCCUCAUGUUG